rnacentral:rRNA from 1 species
AGGGAAUCUUCCACAAUGGACGAAAGUCUGAUGGAGCAACGCCGCGUGAGUGAAGAAGGUUUUCGGAUCGUAAAACUCUGUUGUAAGGGAAGAACAAGUACAGUAGUAACUGGCUGUACCUUAACGGUACCUUAUUAGAAAGCCACGGCUAACUACGUGCCAGCAGCCGCGGUAAUACGUAGGUGGCAAGCGUUGUCCGGAAUUAUUGGGCGUAAAGCGCGCGCAGGCGGUCCUUUAAGUCUGAUGUGAAAGCCCACGGCUCAACCGUGGAAGGUCAUUGGAAACUGGGGGACUUGAGUGCAGAAGAGGUUAGUGGAAUUCCAAGUGUAGCGGUGAAAUGCGUAGAGAUUUGGAGGAACACCAGUGGCGAAGGCGACUAACUGGUCUGUAACUGACGCUGAGGCGCGAAAGCGUGGGGAGCAAACAGGAUUAGAUACCCUGGUAGUCCACGCCGUAAACGAUGAGUGCUAAGUGUUAGGGGGUUUCCGCCCCUUAGUGCUGCAGUAAACGCAUUAAGCACUCCGCCUGGGGAGUACGGCCGCAAGGCUG